GUUCCAUUGCUCUUCAGAAUGUUUCGCUGGUUUUCCUGGGUGUGCAUGAGUGUAUCGUGCAUCACACUUGGGUGUAGGCUUGCAACAUUCACUUGUUCCAUUGCUCUUCAGAAUGCCUAUCUAUGAUGGAACAGUGAUGGGUGCUUAUGGGGGUCGACCUGUUCAGUUCCCCUAUAAUAACGAGACAGAGCUUAGCUGGCCUGCAAAGCUCAUCUUCCGAACUAUGAGAAUUCGUCUGAAUCGAAAGCUAGGAUAGUGGGGUAGGCGAUAGUGAUGUAAACGUAGAUGAUGAUGUAUCUGGGCAUGUAAAUCCUUUAAGGAUAGCCUUUUAUCCCGUAGUGUUGGUAUCUGUGACAUGCUGUAAUGUGUUUUUCUUUUAAUGAAAUUUUUGUUUUGCGUUCAUACUCGAGCUGUUCUUUCUUUAUCAUAAAUGAAGUACUUAGAUUGCUUGCUCCGUAACUUUUCCCGAGGGAUCUGCUGUAUUGCUUUCUCCUUCUUGCCCCUUUAAUC
rnacentral:lncRNA from 1 species